UACGGGGGGAGCAAGCGUUGUUCGGAUUUACUGGGCGUAAAGGGCGCGUAGGCGGCCUCUGCAAGUCGACUGUGAAAUCUCCGGGCUUAACCCGGAAAGGUCAGCCGAUACUGCAGGGCUAGAGUGCAGAAGGGGCAACUGGAAUUCUCGGUGUAGCGGUGAAAUGCGUAGAUACUGGGAGGAACACCGGUGGCGAAGGCGGCUACCUGGACCGGUUCUGACGCUGAUGCGCGAAAGCGUGGGUAGCAAACAGG
rnacentral:rRNA from 1 species